AGCAGCCGCGGUAAUUCCAGCUCCAAUAGCGUAUAUUAAAGUUGUUGCAGUUAAAAGCUCGUAGUUGAAUUUCGGGGUUAGUAGGUUGGUCAUGCCCCUGGUAUGUACUGGUCUCACUGAUUCCUCCUUCCUGAUGAACCUUAAUGCCAUUAAUUUGGUGUUUUGGGGAAUUUGGACUGUUACUUUGAAAAAUUAGAGUGUUUAAAGCAAGCUAACGCUUGAAUACAUUAGCAUGGAAUAAUGAAAUAGGACGUUCGAUCCUAUUUUGUUGGUUUCUAGGAUUGACGUAAUGAUUAAUAGGGAUAGUUGGGGGCAUUAGUAUUCAAUUGUCAGAGGUGAAAUUCUUGGAUUUAUUGAAGACUAACUACUGCGAAAGCAUUUGCCAAGGAUGUUUUCAUUAAUCAAGAACGAAAGUUAGGGGAUCGAAGACGAUCAGAUACCGUCGUAGUCUUAACCAUAAACUAUGCCGACUAGG
rnacentral:misc_RNA from 1 species